AGAUGAACUUGAGCUUUCCGGUGCCUGACAAGCGCCAACAGGUAGAGCAGCUUCAAGUUUCAUGUCCCGCCCUUGUCUCUAACUUCCUGUUGCACGUACGCCACUUCACCUUUCACAGAACAUCUCUCAAUUUAUGCAACAUGGAGGUUCGGCUCUGUGUAAACAUACCCUACGCAAUGCCUUACAACAGCCCUUUGGAAUUCUUGAUUUAAAAGAAGUAGAUGCUGGGACACCCCCACAGUUCCUGGUCCUUCUCACAGUAGCUUUACUGCUGUGACGAAAAAUCCUGCAGCGUUUCAACCUUCAGAAAGCCAUGGAUGUCAUUUUGUAUGAUUUGGAUGAGUCAGAUUUUCAGUUGAGUGUACACUGUUUUUCAUAGAUACAGUACAUUGUGACCAAAACCAAAACGGAGAGGAAAAAAAAAAAACUAAUGACGUAAGUGAAUUAAAUAAAGAUUUUCAAAGUGAGAUUGAGUCCAAAAGCUGGAGGGUGACAUCAGAGCGUGGCAGUUUGUUUUGCCUGGUGUACGUUUUAUGCGAGUGUGUGCUUGUGAAACAUUGAUCCCCAGAGAACUGUCCCAAGUACCCAAGGAGAAUCUGUAUUUUUAACUGAUAUUUACAUCACUCAAUUGGUUGCUCAUUUUCAAAGGUCCUUCCCCUGAGUGUCUUAUCCGUAUUGUAUCAGGGAAGGGACAUCUUUCCUCUCUCCUCUUAGAGAUGUGCUUCACUGGAAAACAUGACGUAGGCAGCAUGUGGUUACAGUUAAGGCCAAAGAACUAGAUUGGCGAAUAUACAGGAGAGGCAAUAUUAAAGAGUUUGGACUCUGUGAAGUUCUGAGCAUGUUCGUGGAACUCUGUGGGCUCUUGUAAACGCAGCUGCUAGGUGCGUAAGGUGCGUGCUCUCCUACAGAGCUCUGGCGCCAGGUUACUGGAACAGCAAAGGACGCUGUGCACUGCUCCAAUCAGAACAAAUCACUACAUUAGACAGAAGCAC